UACGUAGGGCGCAAGCGUUGUCCGGAAUUAUUGGGCGUAAAGAGCUCGUAGGCGGUGUGUCGCGUCGGCCGUGAAAACCUGUGGCUUAACUAUGGGCUUGCGGUCGAUACGGGCAUCACUGGAGUUCGGCAGGGGAGACUGGAAUUCCUGGUGUAGCGGUGAAAUGCGCAGAUAUCGGGAAGAACACCCGUGGCGAAGGCGGCUCUCUGGGACGGUACUGACGCUGAGACGCGAAAGCGUGGGGAGCGAACAGGA
rnacentral:rRNA from 1 species